AUGGAUUACAACGAAGCUUGCAAGGGAUCAUUCGAAUCCGAAAGUUGUGAGAUUGGCAAGAUUGGAGUGGCAAAAAUUGAACAUUAUGAAUCUGAACUAGAAGAAGGUGAGAUCAGAGAGGCAGAUGAGGCAUCCGGAUUAGAAAGCCCUAUCCAGAAUGGCACAGCUGCAAAUGCUGAACAGGAGCAGGUCCAUAUAAGGCAAUCAGCUUCACCGCAAAGAGCUUCUCAUAAUGUAGAGACUGCAGGUAUUGUGGUUUUGCAACAUAGAGUGAUCCACGAACACAUGCCUCCAAGCAUUGUACGCUCAUUUGUGCAAGAUACGAUUGAAAAGGAGCAGGCCCUUAUGUGGCCAUCAACUUCACCUGAAAGAGCUUCCUGUGAAGGAAGGACUGCAGGUAUUAAUUUUGUGCAGCAGUGUAAGUGUAGUGCAAUCCGCGAGAACAUGGCUGCAAGUCUUAAAGAGUCAAGCACAUCUUCUCAAGUGGUGGUUGAAGAGGAGUCAUCAACUUCAGCUGAAAGAGGUUCUCGCCUUGGAGGGACUGCAUGUACUGCUGUUGUGCAACAAUCUAAGUAUGCUGCAUCUGAGGGCCAAUAUGUUAAUGUGAGUCAGUCAACUUUGCAUAGAAAAUGUGGGAACCACCGUCGAAGCUAUUCACCAUCUAUCUAUAGUAGUUCAAAAGAAAGGCAUAAGAAAAGGAAGGAAGGAUGUUUUAGAUACUCUGAUUCCCAUUGGGCCACGAAAAUGAUUGAGGAAGUUUGUUCAGAAAGGUCCAAAACACUACUGUCACGGCAGACUGUAGAUCGGAAGAAAUUCAACAAUGAGCAAAAAAAGAAGAAGAUAGAAUUGUUCCAAAAACAUGUGAAUUCUUAUAAAUUCCAUUAUGCACAUGUUGCACCAACUAUAAGAUAUUGCAGGAUGAUGUUGCCUAAGCUACAUUCCAGCAUGUUGCGCUGCAGAUUUCAUCGACAUAUGAUAUCUCAGCUGAUAAAAUUUUAUAAACAGCUUAUACGUGACAGGGACAAAGAGAACAGAAUAAAAGAGCGCUGGAUAUUUGAGGCCAAAGCUGGCUACCUUAAGAAAUGGUUUUAUGUGACUAACUUGUCAUAUUCUAAAUUCAAGCCAGAGGAACUAGAAAGCUGUAUGGUUGACUAUUCAGAUGGUGAACAGCAUCUAAAAUAUUUUGACAUGCAAUCUAUAACCACUCAAAUUGAAGCAAUUGCCUCUAAUAAAGAACCUAGAGGCACCUUUGCAACUGAUAUUACUGUGCCCAAUCUAGAAAAUUCACCAUCAUCGCUUGAAACAAAUGAACAUACAAAGCUUGGGUUUUCAGUUGGUAUAGCAGAAGAAAUGGCCACCUUAGAAAGCAGGCCUUCACAGUACACCUGUGCUCCCUCGAUGGAGUUUUGUCAUGAAAAUCAGACACAAACUACCUUCCCGGCAGCAGAUAAAGACGAGGGAGGAGAUGUGGAGAGACCCUCUGCUUGCCAGCUUGAUGUGAGUGCAGCACUAGAACCUGCUAAGACACUGACAACAGGUAAGGCAAGUGAUGAUUGUGAGCCUACUCUAGAACACUCGCAAUUGCUGCUUGUAACGAAUGAAGCUACAAAGCCCGGGUUUUCAGUUGGUGUAUCAAAAGAAAUGGCUACCUUAGAAAGCAGCUCCUUGCAGGUAACCAGUGUGUCAGGAAUGGAGUUUCGUGAAAAAGAUGGGACCCAAAUUAUCUUCUCAGCAGCUGACAGCAAUGAGGGACGAAACACGGAGAGCCCCUGUGCUUCUCGGUUUGUCAUGAGUUCAGCAUCAGGACUUGCUAUUGCAGUGAGCACUGAUACAGAAAAUGCUGCCUCGAUUUCUAGAGAAAAACGAAGGCACAUGUGUUCUAGCAAUGAUAUUUCAGAAGGUCCAUGCAGGUCAGGGAGAAAGUUAGGUGAAAAAGAUGGGACACAUAUCUCCUUCUCACCAGCAACGCAAAUUGUCUUCUCAAUAGCAGCACAAAACGAGGGGGAAACCAUGGAGAGUCCCUGUGGUUCUCAGUCUAUCAUGAGUUUAGCAUCAGAACCUACUAUUGCAGCGAGCAAUGGUACAGAAAAUGCUGCCUCGAUUUAUAGAGAAAAACGAAGGCGCAUCGGUUCAGGCAAUGAUGAUAUUUCAGAAGGUUCAUGUUGCAGGCCAGGGAGAAAGUCUGGUGAAAAAGAUGGGACACAAAUCACCUUAUCACUAGCAACACAAAAUGAGGGGGGAGACAUGGAGAGAUCUUGUGCUUCUCAUUCUGACGCAGAUACGGCACUAAAACUUGCGAUGAUUACAGUGAACACUGAUUCAGAAAAUGCCGUGUCUGGUUCUAAUGAAAAGCAACUGGCUAUGACAGUGAACAUUGAUUCACAAAAUGCUCCAUCUGGUUCUAAUGUAAAGCAAAAGCACAUAAAUUCAGGCAAUAAUAUUUCAGAAGGUUCAUGUUCUAGGUCCGAGAUAAUGCCUACCUCGAACCUUUUCAGAACAACAUUGCGUCAAGAGGAACCUCCAGCUGUAAGAUCACCUCCACCUUCAGGUGAUAAUAGACAAGUGGUUCAAGCCGAGGAUAUAAGCGGCGAGGAAGUACCUUCCUUUGCCCAAGUUACCGAGCAGCCAAACAUGCACCUCAAUACCCAAAGUGUGAUGAACCAUCACCAUUUCGGUUCAACUUGCCAGUUUGCUAGUCCUCCAUAUCAACCACCUUGUAGGGAUACUCAUUCAGCAAGAAUUGAGGCUGACAGUGUUGGGGCAUCACAUGUUCAUCCAACGUCAGCCAAUCAGGUGCCAACAGGCUCCACUCCUGGGCCUCGUUUGGCUGAAGAUGGGCUUGAUUCAAAUCACAGUCCUGGGGCAUCACAUGUUCAUCCAGCUUCAGCUAAUCAGGUGCCAACAGGCUCCCCUCCUGGGCCAUCUUUGGCUGAAGAUGGGCUUGACUUGAAUCUAUUUACCAUUGAGUUGAGUCGAUUACAAAAGUUGGCUGAUCUGAUGACAAAAAGGCAUCAAGAGAAGAUAGAACAGCUUAAUUUGGCACGUGAAGUAGAGUUGGCUCAAGCUAAAAGGAAGUAUGACGAGCUGGAAUAUAAUUUAGAGGUAGAAACUUUACAGCGAAAGAGAGAACUUAAGAUAAAAGCUGAUAAAAUUUACAAACAGCAGAUAUUGGCUGAGGUACUACAGGUUAUAUUUAAGGCUUCUGUUAGAGUUGUUCCAGACAGUCCUAGAGGUGCUGCCCAGGAAACCAUGGCAGGGCCUAGUCGGUUGGCAGACCAGCGCAGUUUUCACAUUCCUGCACCUGUUUCAGCCCCCGGAACAUCAACAGGCGCCUCCCUCAGACAGCGGGACCUCAGACAGCGUCCCGCGACCGCGCAACGCGCUGCUAUGGACUCGAUGAAUCAUCCAAGUGGUGGCAUGGGUAAUAGACCAGCAUAA
rnacentral:rRNA from 1 species